UACGGAGGAGGCAAGCGUUAUCCGGAAUUAUUGGGCGUAAAGCGUCCGCAGGUGGCACCUCAAGUCUGCUGUCAAAGACCGGGGCUUAACCCCAGAAAGGCAGUGGAAACUGAAGUGCUAGAGUGCAGUAGGGGUAGAGGGAAUUCCCGGUGUAGCGGUGAAAUGCGUAGAGAUCGAGAGGAACACCUGCGGCGAAGGCGGGUGCUGGGCUGACACUGACGCUGAUGCGCGAAAGCUAGGGGAGCGAACGGG
rnacentral:rRNA from 1 species